rnacentral:tmRNA from 1 species
GGGGUCGAUUUGGUUUCGACGGUGACCUGUUCGUCCCGGGGAAGCGUGCCGAGAACGUAGAGUCCACUCGUGAUGUCCUCUACAACAGAAUAAGUGCUAAAUCUAACCGCACUGAGUUCGCUCUCGCCGCCUGAUUUUCAAGUCAGGACUUAACCCGCGAGUUGCACUCCGUCCACUCUCCCGUGUCUUCGGGGAGAUGCUGGGCGUCGUUAAGAAGACUCGCCCGAACUGCCGAUUUGCAGGGCAGUCCGGGGACUUUUUCUGCGAAUAGGCCUGCUACCAGCCGUCUGUGGCAUUGGUAGGGGCCGAAAAACUGCCAUCAUGGUCAACAGACUACGCACGUAGAAGACCGGGGGUACGGUCACCGGACCGGGGUUCAAUUCCCCGCGGCUCCACCC